AAAGCUCAGCAUGAAAUGAAGAUAACGCAGAGUCGCAGACAGACAAACAAACUCUGAGAAACUCUGUAAGGGAGAGAGACAACAGAAAUGUGAAUGUUUUGUUUUCCAGCAAGAGAGAUGGAGAGCGGGAAGGGAGCAGAAGCAGGACCAUCGAAAGGUGGUGUCUUUGGUGAUGAUAAAGAAGAAGCGGAGCGGACUGAGAAACUCCGUGAUCAUGGAGUUGAUGUUGAUGUGGAGGAGAGUGACGAUGAUGAUGAUAAGGUCGCUGCUGCUGCUGGAUUUGUUCCUGGGCCUCUGCUUUCUCUGAAGGAGCAGAUUGAGAAAGACAAGGAAGAUGACAGCUUAAGGAGGUGGAAAGAGACGCUACUCGGUUGUUUAGAAGGAGAUUUGAAUGGACAAAUGGAACCUGAAGUCGACUUCCGCAGCAUAAGUAUUAUUUCCGACGACUUUGGAGAAAUUAUCACUCCAUUGCCUGUGAGUGACAAUCAGAGCAGUGGUGUCCUGUUUACUCUUAGGGAGGGAUCUCAGUAUCAGCUCAAGCUGACAUUCAGCGUUCUCCACAACAUUGUUUCCGGCUUGACCUACUCCAACUCUGUAUGGAAGGGGGGACUCCAAGUCGACCAAAGCAAAGGAAUGCUGGGCACUUUUGCUCCUCAACGGGAACCAUAUGUGCAUUUGUUGGAAGAGGAGACAACUCCUUCGGGUGCACUAGCAAGGGGAAUUUAUUCAGCAAAGCUUAAGUUCGAAGAUGAUGACAAGCGAUGUCAUAUGGAGCUUCGGUACUCUUUCGAGAUAAAAAAGAGGGGGAGAUAGCCAAGUGAAAUCAGAGUAGACUUAUCAUGCCAUUUCCAUUUUCAUAUUCUCUAUUAUUCUGUGAACUGCAAACCAUGCUCCGAGACCAUUUUGUUGAAAGACUGCUUUUCGGCUGUGAUACAAAAUGUCAGGUCUAUCAUUGCCCACAUGAACUGUUAGAACUCACAGCUGCUCAUUUCUGCAAUGGAAAACUUCAAAUCUCAUCUUACAUAUACAGUCCUUGAUUAGCAUACAUCAUCGACAAGGUGACUAGCAUAUGAAGAAAUGAAUCUGCUUCAUCUAAUGGUUGUGGAUUAUCACAAGGUUCUGUGUUACAGUAGUCAGAGUUAAAAGGCAUUGCACAAGAAGCACUGACGAGAUGAUAUUAACCCGGCCUGGUGUUACCUGUAUAUGAAAGGCCAGUAUAAAUGGAAAAAACCAUUCUCCGCCAGUGGAUGAUAUUGAACUCUAUAUGGACUUCUAUGUACUAAAGAUUAGCCAUUUUCUUGCAAGUUA